rnacentral:tRNA from 1 species
GCCGGGGUGGCGGAAUUGGCAGACGCGCUAGCUUGAGGGGCUAGUGCCCGUAAGGGUGUAGGGGUUCGAGUCCCCUCCCCGGCA